UACGUAGGGGGGCUAGCGUUGUCCGGAAUCAUUGGGCGUAAAGCGCGUGUAGGCGGUCCGGUAAGUCCGCUGUGAAAGUCGGGGGGCUCAACCCUCGAAUGCCGGUGGAUACUGUCGGGCUAGAGUGCGGAAGAGGCGAGUGGAAUUCCUGGUGUAGCGGUGAAAUGCGCAGAUAUCAGGAGGAACAUCCGUGGCGAAGGCGGCCUGCUGGGCUGUUGCUGACGCUGAGGCGCGACAGCGUGGGGAGCAAACAGG
rnacentral:rRNA from 1 species